AGGCCUCACUUCAAGAGAUCCUGGGAAAGUUGUUAUCUGGAGUUGUCAGUUUCUAUUUCCCACCAAGAUGAAAAAGAUGGGGAUACUGAGGCCCAGUGUUCCUGUCAUCUAUUACUGUAACAAACUAUCAUCGAAUUCAAAUGCUUAAGACAGCAACAAUUGAAGCUUUGCGUACAGAGAAAUGUUUUGUUACACUUGACCCUUGAACAACAAGACGGGGAACCGAAGGAAGCAUCUGUAAGGACCAGCUGUACAAAUGGGUGCCUGUUCAAUGGGAUUGCUUGUCUAAACUGUGAAAUAGAAUAAUUGAUUGAAAUCGAGAGUUACUUUUGGCUAAGGAUUUGUCUAAAACACCAAAAGCAAUGGCAACAAAAGCCAAAAUUGACAAAUGGGAUCUAAUUAAACUAAAGAGCUUCUGCACAGCAAAGGAAACUACCAUCAGAGUGAACAGGCAACCUACAGAAUGGGAGAAAAUUUUUGCAAUCUGCUCAUCUGACAAAGGGCUAAUAUCCAGAAUCUACAAUGAACUCAAACAAAUUUACAAGAAAAAAACAAACAACCCCAUCAACAAGUGGGCAAAGUACAUGAACAGACAUUUCUCAAAAGAAGACAUUUAUGCAGCCAACAGACACAUGAAAAAAUGCUCAUCAUCACUGGCCAUCAGAGAAAAGCAAAUCAAAACCACAAUGAGAUACCAUCUCACACCAGUUAGAAUGGUGAUCAUUAAAAAGUCAGGAAACAACAGGUGCUGGAGAGGAUGUGGAGAAAUAGGAACACUUUUACACUGUUGGUGGGACUGUAAACUAGUUCAACCAUUGUGGAAGACAACGUGGCAAUUCCUCAAGGAUCUAGAACUAGAAAUACCAUUUGACCCAGCCAUCCCAUUAUAAAUCAUGCUGCUACAAAGACACAUGCACACAUAUCUUUAUUGCAGCACUAUUCACAAUAGCAAAGACUUGGAACCAACCCAAAUGUCCAUCAAUGAUAGGCUGGAUUAAGAAAAUGUGGCACAUAUACACCAUGGAAUACUAUGCAGCCAUAAAAAAUGAUGAGUUCAUGUCCUUUGUAGGGACAUGGAUGAAGCUGGAAACCAUCAUUCUCAGCAAACUAUCACAAGGACAGAAAACCAAACACCGCAUGUUCUCACUCAUAGUGCAAACUAGAUACAGGAAACACUUCUUUGUCAUAAUUUCCUUAAGGAAGAUAGAUGCUGUGGAAUGAAGAAUGAGCAGAGACCUCGGCUAGCUAAGUACAACUUUUUGUCCAGUGGGAUUUAUCUACACGGCCUUGCUUUUAGAGUUACCACUUCUUGGGCUAAUUCUAAGGCACCUCAUUUUUUUCCAGUUUAAUAACACUUACAAAGGGAAGAUUUGCCCAAAGUGAGAUAAGCUUCUCUCCUCUUACUCUAACCUCUAUCCUGCCAUCCAGUAAGGAUCUGUACUUUUUUCUGUGAUGCAGAACAAACAUACAGGCUGGAAUAAGGUGGGGAGCAGGGACUAUGAAAGGAUCUGGGUCCCAUCACUCCUACAAAAUGUUAUCAGACCCCUUCCAUAAGUGAAGUGAGACACUUCUGUGUGCCACUGAAAAAAUACAGAAGUUGGAGAUACCAGGUUUCAAGCACCUGUAUACCGUCAUAUUUAAUUCUCACAUCAACUCAGACAGGUAUUUUGAUUAUUUUGGAAUAUACAGAAAAGUCAAAUGAAUUUUACAGCCAACCCUAUAUACCGACCAUUUAGAUUUAUUAUACCAUUGACAUCUUGUGUGAUCACAUAUUGAUCAAUCUGUCUAUCCCUCUGUCCAUGUAUUGGUCCAACUUGUUUGUGGGAUGCAUUUCAGGUAAACUGAGACAUGAGCACACUCCCAAAGAUGAUUCUAUAGCCUAGUUUCACCAAAGAGGAUGUUCAGCCACCAUAUGUUCCUCAUUGAGAUACACAGAUAUUAAAUGGUAGAGACAAAAUGUGAA